rnacentral:lncRNA from 1 species
AACAACGAAUUAGCUAAAGAAAAUAAAUUCCUUAAAGAAUCUCUCCUUAGUUCUACCAACAACAUUGAGUUGAUGAAACAAGAUCUGAAUAACCUAGAACAGUACUCUAGGAGAGAAUGCCUUGAAAUCCGAGGUAUACCGGUGUUACCCGGAGAAAAGACCAAUGAAAUUGUUCGGAAAGUUGGUGAAGUAAUUGGUGUUGCAAUUGAAUCUAACGACAUAUCCAUAAGUCAUCGUCUGCCUGCUAAUCGAAAUAAUAGUCGAAACACGGAACCCGCCAUUAUCGCCAAAUUUAUUCGGCGUGAUAUUCGAGAUCAACUGUACAAGGCAAGGAAGAAUCUCCGUCAAAUUACAACACGAGAUAUUGGUAUUCUCAGAACUGCUGAACGUAAAAUUUAUAUAGCAGAAAGCCUAACCCAGGCAAACAAGAAAUUAUUUAACAAGUGCCUCGAAUUCAAGAAACAGCAACAUUAUAAGUUUAUCUGGACAGUAAAUGGAAAGAUUUUUUUACGCAAAGAUGAGUCUAGCCCUUCAAUUGGUAUCACACACAUCAGAGACAUUCCAAUGGCUGGAUAAGUACUUAAUUUAUUGUAUAUUUAAAACUUUAAUAGAUAUAGUCAUUUAAUGUCAUGGCUGCUAAGUUAAAUUCUUUACCUUUGCUAGAGUCAGAUAAUUUCUAUAGCUUGAAUUCAAAUAACAAUUUAUCUUAUAUUGAUCCAGAUGUAAAUUUGCCUUUACAAACUAAUUUUAAGUACUAUACUACCGAGGACUUUCUCCAUAGCAAUCAGAUCCAAAGCUGCAUUUCCAGUGGAAGUUUUUCUGCUCUUCAUUCUAAUAUAAGAAGCCUUGCUGCUAAUUUUGAUGGCUUUGUACAUAUGCUUAACGAGCUAAAUCACUGUUUUUCUAUAAUUGGUCUUACUGAGACCAAACUUAAUACUUCUAGAGAGGCAAUAUCUAAUCAAUACUUACCUGGAUACACAUUUGUUUCUCAACCUAGUUUAUCAAAUGCAGGUGGCACUGGGUUUUUUAUUAAUGAUAGUUUGAGUUAUUCAACAAGAUCAGACCUGUCUUGUUCGUCAAUUCAAUUCGAAUCAUUAUGGAUUGAGAUAAAGAGUAAUCUACAUCAUAAUCUUAUUUGUGGGGUAAUUUACAGACAUCCCCAAAGUGAUCUCGAAGCAUUUAUGGUGUUCUUGAAUAAUGCUCUAAAUAUAAUUAGUAGAGAAAACAAAUAUUGUAUAAUCAUGGGAGAUUUUAAUCUAAAUCUUUUAAAUUUUGAAUCUCACGCAGGUACCGACGAGUUUGUAAAUUCAAUGGGAUCUUAUUUUUUUCAUCCUCACAUACUACAACCAACACGAAUAACUGAUCACUCAGCUACUCUAAUUGACAACAUAUUUUUCAACUCAGUUAAUCAUCAUACUGUUAGUGGUAACAUAAUAUAUGAUUUAACUGAUCAUCUUCCGAAUUUUCUAGUUAUAAAUAAGUUUUCAGCACUACCUAAGAACUUUAAACUCUCUCGUAGGGAUUAUUCCAAAUAUAAUGAAGCUCUAUUACUUGAAGAAAUUCAGUCUACUGAUUGGAACAUGGAAACAUCCAAUGAUAGCAAUCCAACAGAAGUGUUCGAUAUUUUUCACUCCAAACUGUCUAGCAUUGUAGAUAAACAUAUUCCUCUGCGACAUCUGAGCAAAAAAGAACUUAAACACUUUGAUAAACCUUGGAUAACUUCAGGGAUUAGAAUGUCUAUAAAACUUAAGAACAAUUAUUAUAAAAAAUAUAUUAAAACAAGAUCAC